AACGUAGGAGACAAACGUUAUCCGGAGUUACUGGGCGUAAAGGGCGUGUAGGUGGUUUUGUAAGUCUGGCGUGAAAUUUUUCGGCUUAACCGGGAAAGGUCGUCGGAUACUGCAAGGCUAGAGGACGGUAGAGGCGUGUGGAAUUCCGGGUGUAGUGGUGAAAUGCGUAGAGAUCCGGAGGAACACCAGUGGCGAAGGCAGCUCGCUGGGACGGUACUGACGCUGAGACGCGAAAGCGUGGGGAGCAAACAGG
rnacentral:rRNA from 1 species